CUGGGAAGGCGGACCGUAGUGGGUGAGAGUCCCGUAGACGUGAGUGUCAUGUGAGGUUUCAGGUUGCCCCAAGUAGCGCGGUACUCGUGGAAUGUCGCGUGAAUCUGGCGGGACCACCCGUUAAGCCUAAAUACUUCUUGGUGACCGAUAGUGUAUCAGUACCGUGAGGGAAUGGUGAAAAGUACCCCGGGAGGGGAGUGAAAUAGUACCUGAAACCGGUCGCAUACAAGCCGUCGGAGCCUUGCGGGGUGACGGCGUGCCUAUUGAAAAAUGAGCCUGCGAGUUAGUGGUGUGUGGCGAGGUUAACCUGUGUGGGGUAGUCGUAGCGAAAGCGAGUCCGAUAAGGGCGUCAGUCGCAUGCUCUAGACCUGAAGCGGUGUGAUCUAUCCAUGGCCAGGAUGAAGCGUCGGUAAGACGUCGUGGAGGUCCGAACCCACUUCAGUUGAAAAUGGAGGGGAUGAGCUGUGGAUAGGGGUGAAAGGCCAAUCAAACACCGUGAUAGCUGGUUCUCCCCGAAAUGCAUUUAGGUGCAGCGUUGUGUGGUUCGUGUCGGAGGUAGAGCACUGGAUGGUCUAGGGGGCCUAUCAGCUUACCGAAACCAGCCAAACUCCGAAUGCCGGCACGUGGAGCGCAGCAGUGAGACGGCGGGGGAUAAGCUUCGUUGUCGAGAGGGAAACAGCCCAGAUCAUCAGCUAAGGCCCCUAAGUGAUAGCUAAGUGGAAAAGGAUGUGGAGUUGCGUAGACAACCAGGAGGUUGGCUUGGAAGCAGCCAUCCUUGAAAGAGUGCGUACUGACACACUAUGGUCAAUGAUUCCGCGCCGACAUGUAGCGGGGCUCAAGUUAUCCGCCGAAGCUGUGGCAACUUUUUUUUGAGUUGGGUACGGCAGCGUCGUGUUCCUGGUGAACCACCCUGGUGAUGGGUUGUGAAUUGGAUUCGAGUGAGAAUGCCUGCCUUACUAUGUAAUGACGGGUGGGAAACCCGUCCGCCGAAUAUCCUAGGGUUCCAGGGUCAAGUUAUUCUGCCCUGGGUGAGUCGGCACCCAAAGCGAGGCCCACAUGCGUCUUCUAUGGACGACCAGUUUAUAUUCUGGUCCCCGUGUACAACCGUCCGUGUCUAGGUGUGUGAUGCUAACCAUGCGACUGUCCUGGUGAUCCCUUCAGGGUGAUCUUGUGGCGUGAGUGUGUGAACCGAUCAUGUAGUAGACAAGCUGCGGAGGGACACAGUGAGGUAGCUCGUCCCCGGCGAUGGUUGUCCGGGGCUAAAUGUGUGGACUGUCUGGUAGGUAAAUCCGUCAGGCGUGUGGUUGAGGCAUGAUGGCGAGCCAUGUUUGUGUGGUGAGCGAGUGAUCCUGUGCUGUCGAGAAAAGCUUCGUGAGCGAGGUGUGAGCCGCCCGUACCCUAAACCGACACUGGUGGAUUGGUAGAGUAUACCGAGGCGAUCGAGAGAAUCAUGGUGAAGGAACUCGGCAAAAUGCCCCCGUAACUUUGGAAGAAGGGGGACCUGAGCUGUUGCCGCCACGUGCUGGUGGUUGCGGUGAGGGGCGCAGAGAAUUGGGGGAAGCGACUGUUUACCAAAAACACAGGUCCGUGCGAAGUCGUAAGACGAUGUAUACGGACUGACUCCUGCCCGGUGCUGGAAGGUUAAGGGGAACUGUUAGCUUUGGCGACGCGGUGAACUUAAGCCCCAGUAAACGGCGGUGGUAACUAUAACCAUCCUAAGGUAGCGAAAUUCCUUGUCGGGUAAGUUCCGACCUGCACGAAUGGAGUAACGACUUCCCUACUGUCUCCACCAUGAACUCGGUGAAAUUGCAUUACGAGUAAAGAUGCUCGUUACGCGCAGCAGGACGGAAAGACCCCGGGACCUUCACUAUAGUUUGGUAUUGGUGAUCGGUUCGACUUGUGUAGGAUAGGUGGGAGACUGUGAAGCUGUCACGCUAGUGGUGGUGGAGUCGUUGGUGAAAUACCACUCUGGUCGUUCUGGUUAUCUAACGUUGGGCCAUGAUCUGGUUCACGGACAGUGCCUGAUGGGUAGUUUGACUGGGGCGGUCGCCUCCUAAAAGGUAACGGAGGCGCCCAAAGGUUCCCUCAUCCUGGUUGGUAAUCAGGUGUCGAGUGUAAGUGCACAAGGGAGCUUGACUGUGAGACAGACAUGUCGAGCAGGGACGAAAGUCGGGACUAGUGAUCUGACGGUGGCUUGUGGAAGUGCCGUCACUCAACGGAUAAAAGGUACCCCGGGGAUAACAGGCGAUCUGCCCGAGCGU
rnacentral:rRNA from 1 species